GAUGAACGCUAGCGAUAGGCUUAACACAUGCCAGUCGAGGGGCAGCGAGGGUAGCAAUACCUGUCGGCGACCGGCGCACGGGUGAGUAACGCGUAUGUAACCUGCCCGCAACAGGGGGAUAACCCGGCGAAAGUCGGACUAAUACCGCAUAAAACAGGGGUCCCGCAUGGGAAUAUUUGUUAAAGAUUUAUCGGUUGCGGAUGGGCAUGCGUACCAUUAGGUAGUUGGUGAGGUAACGGCUCACCAAGCCUUCGAUGGUUAGGGGUUCUGAGAGGAAGGUCCCCGACAGUGGUACUGGGACACGGAGCAGACUCCUACGGGAGGCAGCAGUGAGGAAGAUUGGUGAAUGGGCGAGAGCCUGAACCAGCCAAGUCGCGUGAAGGAUGACUGCCCUAUGGGUUGUAAACUUCUGUUACAAGGGAAUAAAAUGAGGUACGUGUAUUUUAUUGCAUGUACCUUGUGAAUAAGCAUCGGCUAACUCCGUG
rnacentral:rRNA from 1 species